GCGAACGUGGUGAAAAUGGUAGACACGCCUCCCUCAGGAGGAGGUUUCGUAAGAAGUGAGAGUUCGAGUCUCUCCGUUCGCACCA
rnacentral:tRNA from 2 species